AGUGAACGCUGGCGGUAGGCCUAACACAUGCAAGUCGAACGGCAGCACAGUAAGAGCUUGCUCUUACGGGUGGCGAGUGGCGGACGGGUGAGGAAUACAUCGGAAUCUACUUUUUCGUGGGGGAUAACGUAGGGAAACUUACGAUAAUACCGCAUACGUCCUACGGGUGAAAGCAGGAGAUCUUCGGACCUUGCGCGACUGAAUGAGACGAUGUCGGAUUAGCUAGUUGGCGGGGUAAAGGCCCACCAAGGCGACGAUCCGUAGCUGGUCUGAGAGGAUGAUCAGCCACACUGGAACUGAGACACGGUCCAGACUCCUACGGGAGGCAGCAGUGGGGAAUAUUCGACAAUGGGCGCAAGCCUGAUCCAGCCAUACCGCGUGGGUGAAGAAGGCCUUCGGGUUGUAAAGCCCUUUUGUUGGGAAAGAAAAGCAGCAGGUUAAAACCCCGCUGUUCUGACGGUACCCAAAGAAUAAGCACCGGCUAACUUCGUG
rnacentral:rRNA from 1 species